GUUGAAUUCAGUUUAUCUUGAAUUUAAAGAAUUAUUAUUAUUAUUUUAUAAAAAAAAUAUUUUUUUGUUUUAUUAUUAAUUAAUAAAAAAUACUUGUAAUUAUAGUUUAAUUGUAUAGUGAUAGAAUUUUUAAAAUUUUUAAAUUUUAAAAAGAAGAUUUUAUUUAUUGUACCUUGUGUAUCAGGGUUUAUUAAUUAAAAAUUAAAUAUGUUAAUUUUCUCGAUUCUAAAAGAGUUAAGAAUUUAUAAAUUUUAUUGUUAAAUAAAUAUUUAAAAUAAAUUUUUAGUAAUGAAACGUUAGUCGUUUUUGGAUAUAUCUAGUUUUCAAAGAAAUAAAUUUAAUUUAUUUAUUAAUAUUAUAAAAUUUAUUUAAAAAUUUUAUUAAGUUAAUAUAAAAUAUUUUUGGGGAUAAGCUUAAAAAUAAAUUAUUAUAAAUAUUGUAAGUUAGAAAAAUUGUAGGAUUAGAAAUUUUCAUCAUUAAUAAUUUGUUAUAAUUAAUUUUUUAUUUAAUUUGAUUUAUAUUUAAUUUUAAUUUUUUUAUUUGAAUAAUUUAAUUAAUAUUUAAUUAAAUGGAAUAAUGAUAAAAUUAGUAUAAUUUAAUUUAUAAGUAAAUUAAUGGUUUGAGGUUAAAUAAAGGAACUCGGCAAAUAUAUUUUUCGCCUGUUUAUUAAAAACAUGUCUUUUUGAUAAUAAUAUAAAGUCUGACCUGCCCUAUGAAGUUUUAAAUGGCUGCGGUAUUUUGACCGUACAAAGGUAGCAUAAUAAUUAGUUUUUUAAUUGAAAGCUGGAAUGAAUGGUUGGACGAGAAAAUAACUGUCUCUAUUUAAAUUAAUUAAAAUUUUAUUUUUAAGUAAAAAAGCUUAAAUUUAUUUAAAAGACGAGAAGACCCUAUAGAAUUUUAUAUAAUUACUUAACUUAAAUUUUUUGAAUAUUAUUUUUAUUUUAUUUGCUUAUAUUUUAUUGGGGUGAUAGAAAAAUUUAAUAAACUUUUUUUUUAUAAAAACAUUAAUUUAUGAUUUUUUGAUCCAUUUUUAUGAUUACAAGAUUAAAUUACCUUAGGGAUAACAGCGUAAUUUCUUUAAAGAGUUCUAAUCGAAAAGGAAGUUUGCGACCUCGAUGUUGGAUUAAAAUUAAGUUUUGGUGUAGUAGCUAGAAAUUUAGGUCUGUUCGACCUUUAAAAUUUUACAUGAUCUGAGUUUAAACCGGUGUGAGCCAGGUUGGUUUCUAUCUUUAAAAAAUUAUAAUAUUUUAGUACGAAAGGACCAAGUAUUAAUAAAAUUUAUUUUAAAUUGAAUAUUAUU
rnacentral:rRNA from 1 species